UCCUGGCAUGGAAGGCUUUUGCCCAAAAACUUCUCUUUUACGCUCUUAAUUCAACACAAACUCUAUUGUUAAAUUCAAAAUAUUACGGCUUUAAUUGCAUUGAAAGGAAAACCAGUAGUUUAAGGUUACGAGCUUUUUCCCCCUCUGGUACGGCCUUCGAUCUUCAAUUUUUUCCCCUGUGAUGAACUUCCUCCAUUAUAAAUAAGGAAUGGCAAACGGAAAACAUGGGCUGCUUGGUUUAUCAUUUAAUAUGCCCCAUCGUUGACUUCUUAAUAGAGAAGAAACUAACGGAGGAGAGGAAGCCGACCAUUAAUAAUGAGGAAAAGCUCCGGCGGAGAAGAAACACCCUGAAACAUUCAUGCUCGGUAGACAAGGAGAUAGAUCUGAUCCCUAGAAGCUUUGUCAGCGGAGAUUUAGGAGCACUCCACUACUUCGGAGUCGCAGUCUAUUGGUACACUUCUUUUGUGUAUAUAUUGGGCAUGGCGAGGUCCUGUCCCGUCCCUUGUGAUUUCCAGUACUCCAGAUAGAGGCUCGUAGACAUGUGUGGGUAGUAGAUGUUUCAUGACCUCACUAGUGCCUAGUUUGUAUAUCAUUUUUAUAGCCUUGUGGGCUCG